GAUGAACGCUGGCGGCGUGCCUAAUACAUGCAAGUCGAGCGAACGGACGAGAAGCUUGCUUUUCUGAUGUUAGCGGCGGACGGGUGAGUAACACGUGGAUAACCUACCUAUAAGACUGGGAUAACUUCGGGAAACCGGAGCUAAUACCGGAUAAUAUUUUGAACCGCAUGGUUCAAAAGUGAAAGACGGUCUUGCUGUCACUUAUAGAUGGAUCCGCGCUGCAUUAGCUAGUUGGUAAGGUAACGGCUUACCAAGGCAACGAUGCAUAGCCGACCUGAGAGGGUGAACGGACAAAUGGGAACUGAGCACAGGUCAAGAGGCAGACGGGAGGCGGCAGGAGGGAAUCUGCAGCAAUGGGCGAAAGCCGGACGGAGCAAUGAAGCGUGAGGGAUGAAGGUCUUAGGAUCGGAAAACUCUGUAAGUAGGGAAGAACAAACGUGGAAGGAACUGUGCACGGCGUGACGGUACCUAAUCAGAAAGACACGGCUAACUAAGUG
rnacentral:rRNA from 1 species